rnacentral:lncRNA from 1 species
CAUUGUUAGGGAGCUACCAUUUGAUUUUUAUGGGGGGGCUAGGAUGAAAUUUGAAAAAAAAUAGGCAGGACAGGAGUUUUGAGUAAAAAAAAAAGGCAGGAUGUGACACUUGCCAAAAAAAAAAGUCAGGACGGCAAUUUAAGUAUAAAAAAGUCAGGAUAAACUAAAAAAAACCAGGCAGGACCGAUUAGAGUGAAAAAUAAAAAGGCAGGACAGAGAUUACAGCUAAAAAAAAUGCAGGACAACAUUUUUCAUCCUAGCCCUCCCCA